CCUACGGGUGGCUGCAGUGAGGAAUAUUGGUCAAUGGACGAGAGCCUGAACCAGCCAAGUAGCGUGAAGGAUGACUGCCCUACGGGUUGUAAACUUCUUUUAUAUGGGAAUAAAAUGGUCCACGUGUGGGAUUUUGUAUGUACUAUAUGCAUAAGGAUCGGCUAACUCCGUGCCAGCAGCCGCGGUAAUACGGAGGAUCCGAGCGUUAUCCGGAUUUAUUGGGUUUAAAGGGAGCGUAGGUGGUUUGUUAAGUCAGUUGGGAAAGUUUGCGGCUCAACCGUAAAAUUGCAGUUGAGACUGGCAGUCUUGAGUACAGUAGAGGUAGGCGGAAUUCGUGGUGUAGCGGUGAAAUGCUUAGAUAUCACGAAGAACUCCGAUUGCGAAGGCAGCUCACUAAACUGCAACUGACACUGAGGCUCGAAAGUGUGGGUAUCAAACAGGAUUAGAUACCCGAGUAGUC
rnacentral:rRNA from 1 species